rnacentral:rRNA from 1 species
GAUGAACGCUGGCGGCGUGCUUAAUACAUGCAAGUCGAGCGAACAGACGAGGAGUUUGCUGCUCUGUCGUUAGCGGCGGAGGGGUGAGUAACGCGUGGAUACCCUACUUAUCAGACUGAGAUAACUUGGGAACUCCGGAUCUUAUACGAGAUAAUCUAUUGAACCGUAUGGGUGGAUGGUAAAAGACGGUUGUGCGGGCGGUUGGGGAUGGAUCUGAGGCUUAUUAGCUUGUUGGUAGGGUAGUGGGUUACGACGGCUUGGAGGGGUAGCCGGCCUGAGAGGGUGACCGGCCACAUUGGGACUGAGAUACGGCCCAGACUCCUACGGGAGGCAGCAGUGGGGAAUAUUGCACAAUGGGCGGAAGCCUGAUGCAGCAACGCCGCGUGCGGGAUGACGGCCUUCGGGUUGUAAACCACUUUCGCCUGUGACGAAGCGUGAGUGACGGUAAUGGGUAAAGAAGCACCGGCUAACUACGUG